rnacentral:rRNA from 1 species
GACGAACGCUGGCGGCGUGCUUAACACAUGCAAGUCGAACGCUGAAGACCUGGCUUUUGUUGGGUUGGAUGAGUGGCGAACGGGUGAGUAACACGUGAGUAACCUGCCCUCUUCUUUGGGAUAACGCCCGGAAACGGGUGCUAAUACUGGAUAUUCACUGGCCUUCGCAUGGGGGUUGGUGGAAAGGUUUGUUCUGGUGGGGGAUGGGCUCGCGGCCUAUCAGCUUGUUGGUGGGGUGAUGGCCUACCAAGGCUUUGACGGGUAGCCGGCCUGGGAGGGUGACCCGUGAAAUUGGGACUGGGACACGGCCCAGACUCCUACGGGAGGCAGCAGUGGGGAAUAUUGCACAAUGGGCGAAAGCCUGAUGCAGCGACGCCGCGUGAGGGAUGGAGGCCUUCGGAUUGUAAACCUCUUUCGCUAAUGGUCAAGCCGCAACUGUGGGUUGUGGUGAGGGUAGUGGGUAAAGAAGCGCCGGCUAACUACGUG